rnacentral:rRNA from 1 species
UGGGGAAUAUUGCACAAUGGGGGGAACCCUGAUGCAGCAACGCCGCGUGAAGGAAGAAGUAUUUCGGUACGUAAACUUCAGACGCUGAUGAAGAAAAAAAUGACGGUAAUCAGGCCGGAGCCCCGGCUAACUACGUGCCAGCAGCCGCGGUAAUACGUAGGGGGCAAGCGUUAUCCGGAAUUACUGGGCGUAAAGGGUGAGUAGGCGGCAUUAUAAGUCAUAUGUGAAAGCCCGGGGCUCAACCUCGGGAUUGCAUAAGAAACUAUAAAGCUAGAGUACGGGAGAGGUAAGCGGAAUUCCUAGUGUAGCGGUGAAAUGCGUAGAUAUUAGGAAGAACACCAGUGGCGAAGGCGGCUUACUGGACCGAGACUGACGCUGAGGCACGAAAGCGUGGGGAGCGAACAGGAUUAGAUACCCCGGUAGUCC